CAGUAUGAAGAACUUAAUCAGAAUAUACCUGAACAGGAAAACAGUUAUGAUGCUAUUCGAACACCAAACAAAAACAGAAUGUCCGGUUCAACAUAUAAAGAUAUGCAACCUCAGAAAGAAGAAAACAAGUAUGAAAAAUUUACAAGUUCUAAAGGUGGGAAAGACAGUGUAUAUGCAAAUUCGAAGAUGCUAUCCCAAGGAAAUAUAUAUGUGAAUACGUCCUUUAAAGAAAAUUGAAAUAUAUGGCACCUAAA